rnacentral:rRNA from 1 species
GUCGAACGGAGAUUAUACGCAGAGGCGAUUUCGGUCAAAUCAUGUAAAAUCUUAGUGGCGGACGGGUGAGUAACGCGCGGGUAACCUGCCUUACACUGGGGGAUAACACUUAGAAAUAGGUGCUAAUACCGCAUAAGCGCACGAAGCCGCAUGGAUUUGUGUGAAAAACUCCGGUGGCGUAAGAUGGACCCGCGUCUGAUUAGCUUGUUGGCGGGGUAACGGCCCACCAAGGCGACGAUCAGUAGCCGGCCUGAGAGGGUGGACGGCCACAUUGGGACUGAGACACGGCCCAAACUCCUACGGGAGGCAGCAGUGGGGGAUAUUGGACAAUGGGGGGAACCCUGAUCCAGCGACGCCGCGUGAGUGAAGAAGUAUUUCGGUAUGUAAAGCUCUGUCAGCAGGGAAGAAAGAAAUGACGGUACCUGACCAAGAAGCCCCGGCUAACUACGUGCCAGCAGCCGCGGUAAUACGUAGGGGGCAAGCGUUAUCCGGAAUUACUGGGUGUAAAGGGAGCGUAGACGGUUAAGUAAGUCUGGAGUGAAAGGCCGGGGCCCAACCCCGGGACUGCUCUGGAAACUAUUCAACUUGAGUGCAGGAGAGGUAAGCGGAAUUCCUAGUGUAGCGGUGAAAUGGGUGGUUUUUUGGGGGAACACCAGUGGCGAAGGCGGCUUACUGGACUGUAACUGACGUUGAGGCUCGAAAGC